UAAACGGGCCUACCCCCAAAUUGCUUUCUUCACAGGGCAAAUCCCCAUUACAAAAAGGAAAAUAAGAAGGAAAGUAAGAGAAGCAAAGCACAAAAGAGAUAAAGCUCAUUUGCAAAUCAAUACAACAAGAUAUGGAGGACGUGAAGGUGAUGAUGAUCGGUAGCGUAGAAAAUUCCGCAAAUGAAUCCAUUCCUCAAUACCCCAUCACCACCGCCACUUGCCCAACCUGGAAAUUGUACGAGAAUCCAUUUUAUAAUUCUCACCAUACUAAUCAUCAUCAGCAUCCACACCACAAACAUUGCCAAAGUAACAAGCAUUUUCACCCUCUCUCUGCUCGUAAGAUCGCUCCUUCCUUCUGGGAUCUGACCUUCUUCAGGCCUAUCAUGGAGACUGAACUAGAAAUUGCUCGAGCCCAGAUCAUUGAAUUGAAAGCUGAGCUCGAAUAUGAAAGAAAGGCACGAAAGAAAGGGGAGACUAUGAACAAAAUAUUGGCUAAAGAACUAGCUGAGGAGAGAAAGGGAAGAGAGGCUCUUGAGAGAGUUUGUGAAGAACUUGCUAGAGAAAUUUCAUCGGAUAAAGUGGAGAUUGAUCGCAUAAAAAGAGAAAUUGAGGAGGAAAGAAAGAUGCUAAGAGUGGCUGAGGUGUUAAGAGAAGAAAGGGUUCAAAUGAAGCUCGCCGAGGCAAAGAUUCUCUUUGAAGAAAAACUAUUAGAAUUGGAGGGAAGUAAAAUGUCAGAACCUGAUGAGAAUCCAACUUUGAAGAUGGAACAAGAAGAUAAGAAUCAAGAAGAUCAGGCAACUGCAAAUAAUUUAUCUGGAAAGUUUAGCAGACUGAUACUGGGGGAGAGGUCCUGUGAUGAUAACAGUGGAGCAGAUUCAAGAGAAUCAACAAGAGCAGUUCUAAGUGAAAAAUCAUCGUGUAAUGAUAAUCAUAGCAGUGUUUCAUCUGUGACAGUUGAGAAUCCUCAUAUAAAGAGAGGGAUCAAAGGGUUCGUGGAAUUCCCUCGAGUGGUUCGAGCAAUCGGAUCCAAAAGUAGGCACUGGGGAACAAAGCUGGAGUGUCAAAAAGCUCAGCUAAGGAUUCUGCUGAGACAAAAGAACCCCAUCAGAUCCAAUAAUGUUAUUAUCAGUUGAAAGUAAUCAUUUUCUUCUUCUUCACUUCUUUCUGUGCUUGAUUCAUUUAGUUUUGCUUUUCUUUAUAAUGUAUUCUCGUUUUCAUCUUGAUUUACUUCCUUAAAAGGGUUAGUAGCCAGUACCUGGUUUUUGUUUUGUUGUGUUUUGGAAGAUUGCACGGACUAUGUAAGCACUUUUGGGAUUGCAAUUUGCAAAUAGCAAUAAAAAUGUACAUGAGCUUGUGUUGAUGGGUUUUGAG
rnacentral:misc_RNA from 1 species